GUGUCAGCCGCCGCGGUAAUACGUAAGGACCGAGCGUUGUCCGGAAUCAUUGGGCGUAAAGGGUACGUAGGCGGGUUUUUAAGUUAGAAGUCGAAGGCUAUAGCUCAACUAUAGUAAGCUUCUAAAACUGGGGACCUUGAGUAAUGGAAGGGAAAGUGGAAUUCCUAGUGUAGCGGUGGAAUGCGCAGAUAUUAGGAGGAAUACCGGUGGCGAAGGCGACUUUCUGGCCAUUAACUGACGCUGAGGUGCGAAAGCGUGGGUAGCAAACAGGAUUAGAUACCCGGGUAGUCC
rnacentral:rRNA from 1 species